AUCUAAUCCAUCAGAGCCUAAGAUUUCAGAGGAAGGAAGCAUAAAUUCCUCACAGGUGACUGGCAGUGGUGUUAGCAUCACAAGUAGAAACAUAUUCACCAACAGGAAGUCCUGGAACACAGCCAGUGCAACAGCAGUGAAGUUAUUCUUUGCUACAAUACUGCUCCACUGGACUAAACAAGUAUAAAAAAUGGAUGACAGCAGGAGGACACCUGGCCAGCUGUUGUAUGGUGAGCUGAACUGAGGAGAUCUCAAAUAGGGCAGGCUGAAGGAACAUGCCACAGACACAUUGAAGAACAAUUUCAAGUAAUGGAAGCAUGGCUGCAGAAGACUGGGAAAUAAUAUCAGGAGGAAGACUGACCCAAUGUGGAGCAAUUGGAGCAGCAAAGGUGUGCAGCCAGGUGAAGCUGCAGCAUUUCAGCUUGCAACAGCUUUUGUAAAGAGCAGUCCCUCUCCCAAUCAAAGAGCCCCAUCCACCUGUAUUAUCUGAGUAAACAUGGCAG
rnacentral:lncRNA from 1 species